rnacentral:lncRNA from 1 species
CGGGGAACUUUUGGGACUAUUUUUUCAAACUUAUAAGAUGAAGCUAUUAUAAGAGAAAAAGAAAUAGGUCACUUGUAGACUUGCCACUCAUAAGGGGGUUCGUAAUUGCAGCCAUUGUUGCUCAAUGCUCAAAUUUUAAGGUUAUCUAAACAUUCAGCAGCGUGUGCAUCCCAUAGUCGAACUUUGUAUAUAAACUUCUACUUGAAGAACUUCACGAUGGAGUGAAUGGAAUUUAACCAGCAGAAGACCAAGCAACAAUGACACAUUAAAU